AUUGAACGCUAGCGGGAUGCCUUACACAUGCAAGUCGAACGGCAGCACGGACUUCGGUCUGGUGGCGAGUGGCGAACGGGUGAGUAGCGUAUCGGAACGUGCCCAGUAGCGGGGGAUAACUACGCGAAAGCGUAGCUAAUACCGCAUACGCCCCAAGGGGGAAAGCGGGGGAUCGCAAGACCUCGCACUAUUUGAGCGGCCGAUAUCGGAUUAGCUAGUUGGUGGGGUAAAGGCCUACCAAGGCGACGAUCCGUAGCUGGUUUGAGAGGACGGCCAGCCACACUGGGACUGAGACACGGCCCAGACUCCUACGGGAGGCAGCAGUGGGGAAUUUUGGACAAUGGGGGCAACCCUGAUCCAGCCAUUUCGCGUGUGCGAUGAAGGCCUUCGGGUUGUAAAGCACUUUUGGCAGGGAAGAAAGGGCUUAGGUUAAUAGCCUAGGUUGAUGACGGUACCUGCAGAAUAAGCACCGGCUAACUACGUGCCAGCCGCCGCCGUAA
rnacentral:rRNA from 1 species